GAAUUCCCUGAUCUGCGUAACAUCGGACAUCCAGGCCAACCUUGGCCAGCCUCCUUGACUGGCCUCCAGCCAGUCCUCUCCACUGGGCGUCUGCUCCUCACUUCCCCCGAGCAGUUGCUGCCUUCAUCCCCUCUCCGGUCCCCUGCUUCUGCCCAGCAGGCCCUCUGUCCUGGCUCAGCCUCCUCAGUGAAGCUCACAGACCCUCUGUGAAGACCUGCGAGCUCUCACCUGGCUCCCCUUCUCAGAAAUUCUGUAGCCUUACAACCUUGAUACAGCCACUGUGUAUUUUAUUGUCUUACUGCUCUUGGGGCUCAGGUCCCCUGACUCUUGGUUUAACAUCCCUGUGGUGAUGUCAGGCUUCCAGGAACCCUCAGACCACCUCUGAAACCUGGAGGAAUCAGCUGCUCAUUGCAGAGCUUGACGGGAGCUCUGGGCUCCCCAGGAGCCGAUGCAAUUGAGCCUGUGGCCCAUCUGAGAAUGAGCCACGAUCAACAUUCCUGCAGCUGAGUGACCAUCUCAAGCAAUCAUUUUGAGAAGCUGUUGGGAGUCCCUCUCCUCCCUGCCCCUGACAUCCUCCAGAGGCACCAAAGGAACCCCGCUGGCGUGGGCAUCCCGGCCACAUCCGGCAGCAGUGGUGGCCGCAGCAGCCCUCCCAGCAGGCAUGCUCCACCCAACAGUAUGCGGGAAGGGCCCUCAAAGCGCCAGGAACUCUGCUGAGAGCUCAGGAGCCUCGAGGAACAAAGCAAAGGUCCCGGAUCUCAAGGAGCUUAACAUGCCCGUGGAAAGACAGACAAACGCUGAACGUUUAGGGAAGUGAAAUUCUAGGGAUAAGCUGGCCUCCAAAUUGGGGCUGAACCUCUGACAGGAAGUCAGGCCAUUGCAGCAAGAUGGUUCCAAGGGUGGUUGCAUCCCUUGCUUGCUACGUGACGGCAGCCAGGCUUUGAUUUCUCAGCCGCAGGACUUUCCUGGUGAUGUUAGGAGGCACAGACUGUGGGUCCUUGUCCUGAGUCUGACUGCAGCAUCCUGCCCCAUAAGCCUUGCCUGCUGCAUGACCUCCAGCAAGGCACUUGUCCUCCCGAGGCUCAAAUUCUUCACCAGCAAAGUAAGAGAGUUAGCCCUGGUGAGGGAAUCCCUGACCAGCCUGACUUUGGAAUUACACUGGGUACACCUGUUACAAACAGAUUACCAGGCUCACUGUAGACUUCACCUGUCAGAACCUACAGGGCUGAGUGAGGCCUGGGAGCAGUGACACCAACCAAUUUCCUGGUGAUUCCUAUAGUCUGUAAAUUUUACGAAAUCAAUCUUUUUUCUUGCUAU